rfam:Ornithorhynchus anatinus chromosome 7, whole genome shotgun sequence.
CCCCUCUCAGGAUCACACCUGGAGAGAUCCCAGUACUCUACCAAUCUCAACUACAGGAGGGAGAGUCAGGCAGAGGCAUAUCCAUUCCAUUCCUAGCUUGAGCAGUGGCUAGCUAGUGGAAGUCCAUCUGCUACAAGU